UACGGAGGGUGCAAGCAUUAAUCGGAUUUAUUGGGCGUAAAGGGCGCGUAGGCUGGAAGAUAAGUCAGUUGUGAAAUCCCGGGGCUCAACCUCGGAACAGCAAUUGAAACUAUCAUCCUAGAGGCUAGAUGGAGAAAACGGAAUUCCACAAGUAGCGGUGAAAUGCGUAGAUAUGUGGAAGAACACCGGUGGCGAAGGCGGUUUUCUAAUUUAGACCUGACGCUGAGGCGCGAAAGCAAGGGGAUCAAACAGG
rnacentral:rRNA from 1 species